UACAGAGGUCUCAAGCGUUGUUCGGAUUCAUUGGGCGUAAAGGGUGCGUAGGUGGCGCCGUAAGUCAGGUGUGAAAUCUCGGGGCUUAACCCCGAAACUGCAUUUGAUACUGCGGUGCUUGAGGACUGGAGAGGAGACUGGAAUUCAUGGUGUAGCAGUGAAAUGCGUAGAGAUCAUGAGGAAGACCAGUGGCGAAGGCGGGUCUCUGGACAGUUCCUGACACUGAGGCACGAAGGCCAGGGGAGCAAACGGG
rnacentral:rRNA from 1 species